AUGUUUGUGACACGCCCCCCUCCCCCCAGGCGAGGAUAAGGGGACGAGCUCUAAGUCCACACAUCUCAGAGACAAGACUGGCCACUUGACCAGAGGGGCAAGAGGAAACUUUGGAAGAACUGGCUGCCUUUGUUUCCCCUCCCUGUAAAAGCUGCUAGUUAAAGAUGGCACGAAAGGCAGAUCUUUAAGGCGAUAAGCCACUAUCUUGUCAGGUGGCUCAGCUCUCUGAAUAAAAUGCACCUUAGUGAUACAGUUUCUGGUUUUGUGUAUAUACUGGGCUGAUUACAAAAAAAAAAAAAAAAAAAAAAAAAAAGGAAAAUUCUAGGGAGAGGGAGAAAUAAACACAAGCGAUCAAUUGACUGCUGUUUUUACGAUAUCACAGAGCUCCUGAGUCAAUCCACACUGAGAUGACCACAUUCUGGCCUUCAGUCAGGUUCCAGGUUGUCAGUCUUGGCAGCAACUGCCUUUAUUCAGUGAACCAUCUCAUCUGAGCAUUCUCUAACGCUUGACUAUUGAUGGAAUGUGAUCAGUUGCCUCAAGUGCCUGUGGCUGUGACUUCCCCACUAGGAUGGGCUGCAACUUCAAACGCUCAGGCACAGCCCUGGAAGAGAGAGCUCAGUGAGACACCGCUCAGUCGCUGUUUCUCCUGAUUGAAACACCACCUCCUGGCUGAGAAGAAGAGUAUAAAACUGGGGGAGUGAACGAAACUCACAAGGCUCAAGGAGUACACAGAACUGCAAGGCUCCGGAAGCUUUCCCAGCUCAGCAUAUUCACAAGACCCUUCCCCCACCCCGAGGGUGGAGGGUGAGGUGGGGGGGGGGGGAGGGUAGAAAGGCAGUCGUCACUGGUGUGAGAAGAGACUCUCCAGCCCGCAGAGUUGGGACGCAGCUUUUAGGAGUUGUGGCUUAUGCUGGGGUCAGCUUUUUCAUGACCCAUAGUGGCUGGCUAUGCUAGCCCAGUUCUUGAAAGUAAUCUCUUACCCUCCCCGUAAGACUCACUGGUUUACCAAGACAGAGUUGGUGGAAUUCAGGUAGGAAAGUUGUAGAGAUAGUUAAGUAACCCAGGAUGCCACUUGGCUAGAGUAAUAUACACACUGUUUUCCGUACAAUACAUGUAUCAACCUGGGACUUCCACCACAUACAAACAUACACCUGGCUUCCAAUAAGCAGUAGGUCAUUCCUUUCUAACAGCUGUUUGGUAACUUUUCUUUUGUGGCCAAAAACAUCUCAAAACUUUACCUGAAACUAAGUGAAAUGGGUCAAUCUGGCUGAUGAGGUUUUGGGAGCAUAUGAAGUAAGUCAAACAUGUCCUUUGAAUAAGUGUUUAGAGGGAAAUCCCUGUAAUUUGGCAAUGUUAAUUAUUAAUUAAAAAUAAUAGUAAUAUUAUACUAAUGCAUGACUAAAAGCAGAUGCAUCAUGGGUAAAGACAUGUGCAGCGAACAAAGGCUUACAUAUCCAAGCCAAACAGUCAAAAGGCCGCCUACAUCCUGGGCCUUAGCAAUCAGCUCCUCCUAGACCACAAAGGAAAGUUCCAGGAGGUGACCAUGGGUUCUUGAGCACUCUAGGUCGCCUUCUGUGCUCUUGCUGUGUAUCUGACCUGUUUUCUCUUUGCUUCUGAAUAAAAACCUCUUGCUACUUUA